rnacentral:rRNA from 1 species
UCAGUUCGGAUUGCAGGCUGCAACUCGCCUGUAUGAAGUCGGAAUUGCUAGUAAUCGCGGAUCAGCAUGCCGCGGUGAAUACGUUCCCGGGCCUUGUACACACCGCCCGUCACACCAUGAGAGCCGGGAACACCCGAAGUCCGUAGUCUAACCGCAAGGAGGACGCGGCCGAAGGUGGGUUUGGUAAUUGGGGUGAAGUCGUAACAAGGUACC